GGAUUCCACACAAGAAGAGCACACCAUCCCUCACCAUCAUCAGCAUGAAGAACAGAUGUAUAUGAAAAUUAAGAUUAAAGAGGAAGAAGAGGAAAGGACUGCGACUGGUUAUGAGGAGUCUACGGAAGAAGUUGGGAUGAUGGUGACAAUCAAACAAGAAGAACCCUCUCUAGAUAUUAAUGCAGAUGGAUUUAGUAAUGGGAACCCACCAGAGAGAUGUCCC